rnacentral:lncRNA from 1 species
ACGAAUCAAAAAUUUUAUAGGUCACAAAAUCAACACAUCAGUGCCAGACACUGCCAUACCACACAUACCCUCACACCAUCACCAUACAGCAAAACCCCCACACCACCAUAACCACCACCGAUAUAGCCUAACAACGCUGCUACCACCCAAAAUCACAGCAAAACCACCAUUAAAAACCACAAACCAUACAAAACCACGGCAUCACACGCCAUCGAUUUCAGCCGGGUUUGAAUCUGCAUACAACCGCCUCCACUACCCACACCAGAUUUCUCUAACGAGCAGCAGCUGUGCCUUCCAACCCACUAAUCUGACAUCGCCACCACCAUUACCAUACACCGCCUCUACUAAAUCUUCCACCUCUCGCCACCGAGUAACCAAUACCAUGCCCUCAUACCUCAAAUCAACAGCUCAAUCGACCAAUUACAUUACCAGCAAUCAGGAUAGUGGGAUCGCCAAGAACUGCAGAAAUCACAAACUAUAAUGCAAAUCCAGCAACUUCACAACAUUUUUGAAUUUGUCCUCAGAAAUCUCACAAAUUUAAUUCACCACCACUUCAGAAAUCUCACGCCACCGCACCUCUUACAACUUUGAGAUUAACGCACCUCGUUGCUCCACCUCGCAGAUUAACACCGCUCGUACGCUACAUCUUGCACAGAUUGAAGUCUCGCGUCGCCCCCAUCUCCUACAGUCGCUCCGAUGUGUGGUAAAGAGACGGAAGAGAUAAUAGAGAGAGACGAGAGAGGGAGAGGGAGGAGAUAGAUCUGUGUCUGG